CGGGGGAGGCCGGAUCCUGGGCUGUGUCGGGCGCCUAGUGCUCCGGAGCCUGCGCUGUUACAUUCAGGCUCCCGCCCCGCAGCCCCCU
rnacentral:pre_miRNA from 1 species